AUUGAACGCUGGCGGCAUGCUUUACACAUGCAAGUCGAACGGCAGCGCGGGCUUCGGCCUGGCGGCGAGUGGCGAACGGGUGAGUAAUGCAUCGGAACGUGCCCAGUAGUGGGGGAUAGCCCGGCGAAAGCCGGAUUAAUACCGCAUACGACCUGAGGGUGAAAGCGGGGGACCGAAAGGCCUCGCGCUAUUGGAGCGGCCGAUGUCGGAUUAGCUAGUUGGUGGGGUAAAGGCUUACCAAGGCGACGAUCCGUAGCUGGUCUGAGAGGACGACCAGCCACACUGGGACUGAGACACGGCCCAGACUCCUACGGGAGGCAGCAGUGGGGAAUAUUGGACAAUGGGGGCAACCCUGAUCCAGCCAUGCCGCGUGCGGGAAGAAGGCCUUCGGGUUGUAAACCGCUUUUGUUCGGGAAGAAAUCCUCUGGGCUAAUACCCCGGGGGGAUGACGGUACCGGAAGAAUAAGCACCGGCUAACUACGUG
rnacentral:rRNA from 1 species